rnacentral:rRNA from 1 species
UAGGGAAUCUUCGGCAAUGGACGAAAGUCUGACCGAGCAACGCCGCGUGAGUGAAGAAGGUUUUCGGAUCGUAAAACUCUGUUGGUAGAGAAGAACGUUGGUGAGAGUGGAAAGCUCAUCAAGUGACGGUAACUACCCAGAAAGGGACGGCUAACUACGUGCCAGCAGCCGCGGUAAUACGUAGGUCCCGAGCGUUGUCCGGAUUUAUUGGGCGUAAAGCGAGCGCAGGUGGUUUAUUAAGUCUGG